rnacentral:ncRNA from 1 species
CCGGACUGCGCUGUUUACGUAGCCCGGCGAUCUGUACGGCGCCGCCCGCUCCGGCACGGGGCGGCACAGAUUCGAGGA